rnacentral:rRNA from 1 species
GAAACCCAAAAGAUCGAAUGGGGAGAUUCAUCGUCAGCUCAUUUUGUAUAUGUAUAAGUUACGAUGCGGGUUACUACUUGUAGUAUUGCCUGCACGUUCUUGUAUAUUUAGUUGCAAGAUGUUGUCGGCGUGCACUUCUUCCCUAGUAGGACGUCGCGACCCGUUGGGUGUCGGUCUACGGCCCAAGUGAUAGCCUUUAAUGUAAUUUAAAAAUCAUUGAAGAUCCUUGGUGUUUUCUGACCGGCUACUCGGCGGUACUCGUAUGGUAUUUAGCCGCUAAUUUAUUAGCGUCCAUGUCCGUCACAAGCGAGGCUAAUUUACUGAUAGUGCGGACCUAGUGCCGUCGUUGGUAUUGGCCAGCUGUUGGUUGUACGUGAUUCUGGGACUGGCUAAAAUUAAUUACCGGUCGGCGAUGCUACUGCUUUGGGUACUUUCAGGACCCGUCUUGAAACACGGACCAAA